AAAUUGAAGAGUUUGAUCAUGGCUCAGAUUGAACGCUGGCGGCAGGCCUAACACAUGCAAGUCGAACGGUAACAGGAAGCAGCUUGCUGCUUUGCUGACGAGUGGCGGACGGGUGAGUAAUGUCUGGGAAACUGCCUGAUGGAGGGGGAUAACUACUGGAAACGGUGGCUAAUACCGCAUAACGUCGCAAGACCAAAGAGGGGGACCUUCGGGCCUCUUGCCAUCAGAUGUGCCCAGAUGGGAUUAGCUUGUUGGUGAGGUAACGGCUCACCAAGGCGACGAUCCCUAGCUGGUCUGAGAGGAUGACCAGCCACACUGGAACUGAGACACGGUCCAGACUCCUACGGGAGGCAGCAGUGGGGAAUAUUGCACAAUGGGCGCAAGCCUGAUGCAGCCAUGCCGCGUGUAUGAAGAAGGCCUUCGGGUUGUAAAGUACUUUCAGCGGGGAGGAAGGUGUUGUGGUUAAUAACCGCAGCAAUUGACGUUACCCGCAGAAGAAGCACCGGCUAACUCCGUGCCAGCAGCCGCGGUAAUACGGAGGGUGCAAGCGUUAAUCGGAAUUACUGGGCGUAAAGCGCACGCAGGCGGUCUGUCAAGUCGGAUGUGAAAUCCCCGGGCUCAACCUGGGAACUGCAUUCGAAACUGGCAGGCUUGAGUCUUGUAGAGGGGGGUAGAAUUCCAGGUGUAGCGGUGAAAUGCGUAGAGAUCUGGAGGAAUACCGGUGGCGAAGGCGGCCCCCUGGACAAAGACUGACGCUCAGGUGCGAAAGCGUGGGGAGCAAACAGGAUUAGAUACCCUGGUAGUCCACGCCGUAAACGAUGUCUACUUGGAGGUUGUGCCCUUGAGGCGUGGCUUCCGGAGCUAACGCGUUAAGUAGACCGCCUGGGGAGUACGGCCGCAAGGUUAAAACUCAAAUGAAUUGACGGGGGCCCGCACAAGCGGUGGAGCAUGUGGUUUAAUUCGAUGCAACGCGAAGAACCUUACCUGGUCUUGACAUCCACAGAACUUUCCAGAGAUGGAUUGGUGCCUUCGGGAACUGUGAGACAGGUGCUGCAUGGCUGUCGUCAGCUCGUGUUGUGAAAUGUUGGGUUAAGUCCCGCAACGAGCGCAACCCUUAUCCUUUGUUGCCAGCGAUUAGGUCGGGAACUCAAAGGAGACUGCCAGUGAUAAACUGGAGGAAGGUGGGGAUGACGUCAAGUCAUCAUGGCCCUUACGACCAGGGCUACACACGUGCUACAAUGGCGCAUACAAAGAGAAGCGACCUCGCGAGAGCAAGCGGACCUCAUAAAGUGCGUCGUAGUCCGGAUUGGAGUCUGCAACUCGACUCCAUGAAGUCGGAAUCGCUAGUAAUCGUGGAUCAGAAUGCCACGGUGAAUACGUUCCCGGGCCUUGUACACACCGCCCGUCACACCAUGGGAGUGGGUUGCAAAAGAAGUAGGUAGCUUAACCUUCGGGAGGGCGCUUACCACUUUGUGAUUCAUGACUGGGGUGAAGUCGUAACAAGGUAACCGUAGGGGAACCUGCGGUUGGAUCACCUCCUUACCU
rnacentral:rRNA from 4 species